UCUUGAAGAGGAACAGCGGCAGU
rnacentral:misc_RNA from 1 species